AUGAACGCUGGCGGCGUGCCUAAUACAUGCAAGUCGAGCGAACAGAUGAGGAGCUUGCUCCUCUGACGUUAGCGGCGGACGGGUGAGUAACACGUGGAUAACCUACCUAUAAGACUGGGAUAACUUCGGGAAACCGGAGCUAAUACCAGAUAAUAUAUUGAACCGCAUGGUUCAAUAGUGAAAGACGGUUUUGCUGUCACUUAUAGAUGGAUCCGCGCCGCAUUAGCUAGUUGGUAAGGUAACGGCUUACCAAGGCAACGAUGCGUAGCCGACCUGAGAGGGUGAUCGGCCACACUGGAACUGAGACACGGUCCAGACUCCUACGGGAGGCAGCAGUAGGGAAUCUUCCGCAAUGGGCGAAAGCCUGACGGAGCAACGCCGCGUGAGUGAUGAAGGUCUUCGGAUCGUAAAACUCUGUUAUUAGGGAAGAACAAAUGUGUAAGUAACUAUGCACGUCUUGACGGUACCUAAUCAGAAAGCCACGGCUAACUACGUG
rnacentral:rRNA from 1 species